rnacentral:rRNA from 1 species
CCUACGGGGGGCAGCAGUCGAGAAUCAUUCACAAUGGGGGAAACCCUGAUGGUGCGACGCCGCGUGGGGGAAUGAAGGUCUUCGUAUUGUAAACCCCUGUCAUGUGGGAGCAAAUUAAAAAGAUAGUACCACAAGAGGAAGAGACGGCUAACUCUGUUCCAGCAGCCGCGGUAAUACAGAGGUCUCAAGCGUUGUUCGGAAUCACUGGUCGUAAAGCGUUCGGAGGCUGUUUCGUAAGUCGUGUGUGAAAGGCGGGGGAGCAAACCGCGGACAGCACAUGAUACUGGGAGACUAGAGUAAGGGAGGGGGAAGCGGAAUGCGCGGGGUAGCGGUGAAAUGCGGAGAUAUCGCGAGGAACACUGGUGGCGAAGGCGGGUUGCUGGAUAUUAACGGACGCUGAGGCACGAAGGCCAGGGGAGCGAAAGGGAUUAGAUACCCCGGGAGUC